AACCCGUCAGCAAGUGAAAAGGGAUAGCCCCACCCCUAACGGAUUAUUUGUAAAGAAAAUCCCAACACAGACUGGGAGCAGCGUCUCUACCCUCACUCCCUCACUAAUUUCUAAAAAAACAGCGGCAGCCGGGGGCCAGGUCAGACUGCAGCUGUCAGUAAAUAAAUACUUUCAACCCCACUGAAACCAGCCACGGAGGUGCUGUGUCAUGUCGGGGGAAGCCAGAUACGUGGAAAGAAUUCUGCAGAGGUCUCUCCGCCCCUUCCACACCAAGGGACAGUUUUUAGAAGCAGGGGAACGUGAGACCAAUCAUUAUCAAAUACUUUGAUUUUUUUUUUUGGUUGAGUAUUUAUCUUUUAGUUUUUAACUUUUUGAAAGAAUGUCUUGAAAUGCACACAUCUCCCUUCCGCCAUCUUUUUCCCCACUCCCGGGGAGGAUGGGACCAGGAAUGGUCUCCCCUCUCCCAACCCGGGGUCUCCUCCAGCAAUCACAGGUGAAUCUCUAUGGGAAUGGCACACAUACCUGGAGCCACUGUUUGUCUUUUUAAAAAGGAAACAGUGUCACAGAAGUUGCUCCAGCCUUCAGCCAUCUAUUUUUUUUUCGACUCCAGUGUCUUUCACCUUGCUUGGAGUUACAUUUUGACUUUUCCCCUGGGUGUUCUUCUGUCUCUACUGUGACUCUCUGAAAAGAAAGGAACACACUGAGAUGAGGGAGUGGAGGGUCCAUCUGGCUGGUGUAGUUCAGGCUCACACUCUGACGCCUUGGCAGGCUUGGCCUGUUAUUUAUUCUGCUUUACCUUACUACUCAAAACACCACGUAGCUCUGCCCUCUCAGUAUUAAUGGUGUGACUUGGUUGGCAAUAUUUGCCGUGUAGAGUUGUUGUCAUUAUUGUGGGUUUUUUUGGUUUUUUGUUUUUGUUUUUUUUUUUUUAGAUAACCAUUGUAAAUUUGAAACAAAGACCAAUCUGUGUAAAAACAAAUUUCCAUAUGUUUUAUAUAAAUAUAUAUAAUAUGAGGGACUGUCCCCCCUUUUAGUCUUUUGGCCGCAGAGGUGCGGCAUCUGUGACACGUAUUUUAAACCUCCUUUCUGCACUGUAUAAAAGGGACAAUCUGAGGGUAUUGCUUUUUGUGUAUUUUUUUCCUACAAAAAG
rnacentral:lncRNA from 1 species